UACGUAGGAGGCAAGCGUUGUCCGGAAUUACUGGGCGUAAAGCGCGUGUAGGUGGUGGGACAAGUCUGCUGUGAAAGCGCCUGGCUUAACCGGGCGAGGUCGGCGGAAACUGUUCGACUUGAGGACGGUAGAGGGGGGUGGAAUUCCCGGUGUAGUGGUGAAAUGCGUAGAGAUCGGGAGGAACACCUGUGGCGAAGGCGGCCCCCUGGGCCGGCCCUGACACUGAGACGCGAAGGCGUGGGGAGCGAACGGGG
rnacentral:rRNA from 1 species